GCUGGGCGGCGGGAGGGCUAGGGCCGGUAUGUAAAGUGAGAGAUAAGGGAGCCUCUUUGUGGGGGAGGGAAAGAGAGAGAGAGAGAGCUUUCGCGGUAGGGGCAGAGUUUUCCCAAACAAUUCUAAUUUUUCUUGGCUACAAAUCUUCAAAAUAAGGUUUUCAAUUUUUUUCCUUCUUUUUAUUCCCCCAUUUUUCCUAAUUUGGAGUCUCUGAAAACUAAGCUGUGCUUUCUUAAAACCCUGCCAACUGAAGUCAGGCAACUUAAAUUUUAUAAGAAAACAACAGGAAUCUAUUUACAUACAUAAGCCACUUUCAUACUAUGGAUGCAUGGACUUCAGAGUAAUGUGGCCUGUAUUGAUUUUCCCAGGAUUGUUCUUUUGUAUGUUGUUGUUUUUCUCCCUUCCUCCCCCUAUUUUCCCUUAAUAGGACAUGAGACUUCAUAACCUGCUAAAAAUGAGCUUUUGGGACCUACCUGUCUAGGAAUAAACCAUCCUAGCCAUGAGAUAUCAGAUGGAACCUGAGACCAGAAACUCAUUUUCUUGUAAAAUGCCUUCUCCAAAAAGUUAAAAAAGAAAAGGGGGGAAAUGCAAAAGGAAAAUACCUUGGGCCUUCAAGCUGGGAACGGCUCAAGGCAAAUCAGCCUUCCAUUCUAUUCAAGGUCAUCUCUCUACUCACAGAGACAGAUGUAUAUUUUGACUGCCUCCUUUGGAAAGACUUAUCAGAAACUCAAAAGAAUGAACCAUCUGUCUCUCACCUACCUGUGACCUGGAAGCCCCAGGGAGGCUGGGGGUGGGGGCCUUGCUUCCAGUUGUCUCCACCCUUCUGGAUGGAGCUAAUGUACUUCUUACAUAUAUUGAUUGUUGUCUCAUGUCUCCCCUAAAUGUAUAAAACCAAGCUGUGCCCCAACCACCUUGGGCACAUGCUGUCAGGACUUCCUGAGGCUAUGUUACCGGCAUGUCCUCAACCUUGACAAAAUAAACUUUCUAAAUUAGCUGAGACCUGUCUCAGAUUUUCUAGGUUCAUAGUAUUUUCUGUUCAGUUGUUUUGGUAAUCUCCUGAAGGGACUCCUGCUAUGAUGAAUCUUCUUUGGUUGGGUUCUAUAUUUAACACUUUUUUAUUUUUUUUUUUUUGAGAUAGGAUUUCGCUCUGUCACCCAGGCUGGAGUGCAGUAGUAUGAGCUCAGCUCACUGCAACUUCCACCUCCCAGGUUCAAGUGAUUCUAAUGUCUCAGCCACCUGAAUAGCUGGAUUACAGACGUACAUUACCAUGCCCAGGAAAACCUGAGAAGGGACAAAGUGAAACUUCACAGAACUCAGAAGAGACAAGAAUCAGAAAUGCACACAUGGUGCCAUAUUUGGAAGUCAUGAAGAAGAACUGAAUAGCAUCACUGAGGAAAAACUCCUUGCUCCUAAAUAUGAAACUCGAAGCACAUUAAGACUAAGGGUUACUAAUAAUAUUUAAAUAAAUUUGGCCAUUAUGCUUUUAGGGAAUUAAAAAAUACCCAUAGUAACUUUUAUUAAGCCAUCUUCCAAUGAAGAGGGAAAUAGAAGUAAGAUUUUCUUGGCUGGGCACGGUAGCUCACGUCUGUAACCUCAGCACUUUGGGAGGCUGAGGUGGGCAGAUCACUUGAGGUCAGGAGUUUGAGACAAGCCUAGCUAACAUGGUGAAACCCUGUCUCAACUAAAAAUUUAAAAAAUCAGCUGGGUUUGGUGAUGUGUGCCUGUAAUCCCAGCUACUUGGGAGCCUGGGGUAGGAGAAUUGCUUGAACCUGGGAGGCAGAGGCUGCAGUGAGCCGAGAUUGUGCCAUUGCACCCCAACCUGGGUAACAUAGUGAAAUUCUAUCUCAAAAAACAAAACAAACAAAAAAGUGACAUCUUCUUUAUAUUAAAAUUUAUUUUCUGGCCUGAUGCAGUGGCUCACGCCUGUAAUCCCAGCAUUUUGAGAGGCUGAGGUGGGCAGAUCACUUGGGGCCAAGAGUUCAAGACCAGCCUGGUCCAUAUGGUGAAACCCUAUCUCUACUAAAAAUAUAAAACUUACCUGGGUUUCAUGUUGGGCACCUGUAAUCACAGCUACACAGGAGGCUGAGGCAUGAGAAUCGCUCUGACCUGGGAGGCAGAGGUUACAGUGAGCUAAGAUUGCGCCACUGCACUCCAGACUGGGCAAGAGAGUGAGACUCUGUCUCAAAAAAAAAUUCGCUUCCAACUGGCCAAUUCAUGACUGUUUCUAAAACAGACUGUUGCAACAAUCUUUUAGACUGGUGGUUCUGAACCCUAGGUGUUCAUUAUGAUCAACUUUUAUUUAUUUAUUUAUUUAUUUUUGAGGUGGAGUCUCACUUUGUCACUCCGGCUAGAGUGCAGUGGUGUAAUCUCGGCUCACUUCAACCUCACCCUCCUGAGUUCAAUCGAUUCUCCUGUCUCAGCCUCCCGAGUAACUGGGAUUACAGGCACCCAUUGCCAUGCUUGGCUAAUUUUUGUAUUUUUAGUAGAGACAGGGUUUCACCAUAGUGGUCAGGCUGGUCUCAAACUCCUGACCUCAGGCGAUCCACAUGCUUCAGCUUCCCAAAGUGCAGGGAUUACAGGUGUGAGCCACCAUGCCCCGCCAGGAACCUAUUUUAAAUAAGUCUAUAAUUAUACCAUUUGUCAAUCAAUUUCUAAAAAUUCAAAAGCAACAGUCAUGGUAUAAAUAGCUAUAGGCCUUUAUGUACAUUUAAAAAUAACUAAACAAGCAUAAUUAAAUUGUUUAUAACACAAAGGAUAAAUGCUUGAGAUGAUGGAUACUCCAUUUACCCUGAUGUGAUUAUUACACAUUGCAUGCCUGUGUUAAAAUAUCUCAUGUACCCCAUAUUUACCUACUAUUGGCCACAAUAAUUAAAAAAAUUUUUAAAAAGCA